UUGAACGCAGAGCCGGAGCAGGAACUAUGGAUGAGCGACGCUGAGUUGGGGAGUUAGGGGGGGGUGUCACAGUGUGUGUGUGUAUGAGAAAAUGGGUUUUAGAUUUCUAUUGGGAGGUUAAUUCUGUCUUUUCCUUAAGUCUGUAAAAAUGGAAGAAGAAAGGUAUUACUAUUUCCUCUGGUUUAUUUUUAGUCUUUUUGGUUAGUGAGUAGUGAGUAGAGUGGUAGUGGCUACGACUCAGUGUUUCAGGGAGAAGAAGGAGAUAGGGGAGCUGAUGAUAAAUAUUAAAUAUAAAAAGAGAAGAGGGGUUUGCUUGCGUUCUUUGUAAUAUCUCUCUAAUUCUUUUUAUAUUUUUAUUCAUUCCUUUCGGGGUUUCGGCUAAUCUCUCUCUCUCUCUCAAUUUCUUUCUUUCUUUUUAAACUCUCUCUCUUUAUUUCAUUCUUGUAAGAAUCAGCCUUAUUAUAUGAUCGAUCUGUUCUUACUUUUCGAAUGUGAGUUACUGAGUUUUUGUUUCAGAUUAUGGAGAUUUGAUUAGCUUUCUAGUGCCCCAGUUCGAUCUAUAUUUUAUUGUUCCGUAUCUGAUCUUUGACUAGUAAUGAGUAAUAAGCUUUUUUUUUUUUGGGUCAAAUUCUAUUCGAGCAAAAAUUCUCUCUGGCUCAGCAGUUGAUCACAUUACAUCUUUUUUGCAUCUGCUUUUGUUGAGCAUUAUUUUUUCUUCUUUACCCAAAACACUCACCGUAUUACACUUUCUGGGAUAAUGUUUUUUUGUAGAGCCAAAACUACGGUUCAGUACUGAGGAGCAAGUCUGGUCUUUGAAGACUGAGCUGACAUAGGCAAUAGAGAGAGAUGUCAAGGGAGUUGGUGAGAAUGAUGGGUGGCACCAUAGCAAAAGCUUAUAAAUAGAGGGGUUCACAAAUUGAAGAAGCCACAAUAUUGGUUGUGCUAUUUUGAUCCUGAAGUUUCUUGUGGGAGGAGAUGGAACUGCUGAAGAGAAUAGAUAGUGCACUGUUAUAAAGUAAUUUAUUCUUCUUUAGUGCUUCUUUUAGGAUAAAACUUCAAAUGGAAGUUUAAGACCUAGGGUAAAAGUGUUUGUGAACAUUUGCAGAGAGAGAAGCCUGCAAUUGCCAGAUAAGAACAAUUGCUGAAGAGUUACAAAAAGGCUCCCCUAGCUUAUGAUGACUUAUGCGUAAAAAGUUUUGAGGUGCCGUGGAAGAAAUAUUUUCUUCAGUUAUUGCAUUUUUGCUUUAAAACAUCUGUAUUAUUACUAUCCACCUAAUGACCAUUAUUCAACUAUGAUAUAACUUUUGAUAUGGUCUUCUAGGGUAAAUAUGAAGGCAAAUGUUUGAUGAUUCAAAAAAAAUUUUUACCAUAAAUUGUGUAAUUUAUAAACUUGUAUUUACCUAAG